rnacentral:rRNA from 1 species
ACUCAAAGGAAUUGACGGGGACCCGCACAAGCGGUGGAGCGUGUUGUUUAAUUCGAUGGUAAACGAAGAACCUUACCCAGGCUUGACAUCCUUGGAAUUUCUUCGAAAGAAGAAAGUGCUUUUAGAGCCAAGUGACAGGUGUUGCAUGGCCGUCGUCAGCUCGUGUCGUGAGAUGUUAGGUUAAGUCCUUUAACGAGCGCAACCCUUUUGUUCAGUUGGAUUUCUCUGAACAGACUGCCCUGGUAACAGGGAGGAAGGAGGGGAUGAUGUCAGGUCAGUAUUACCCUUAUGUCUGGGGCUACAAACACGCUACAAUGGCCGGUACAAAGGGCAGCCAACCCGCGAGGGGGAGCAAAUCCCAUCAAAGCCGGUCUCAGUUCGGAUUGCAGGCUGAAACUCGCCUGCAUGAAGCUGGAAUCGCUAGUAAUGGUAGGUCAGCUAUACUACCGUGAAUACGUUCCCGGGUCUUGUACACACCGCCCGU